GAUGAACGCUGGCGGCGUGCCUAAUACAUGCAAGUCGAGCGAACGGACGAGAAGCUUGCUUCUCUGAUGUUAGCGGCGGACGGGUGAGUAACACGUGGAUAACCUACCUAUAAGACUGGGAUAACUUCGGGAAACCGGAGCUAAUACCGGAUAAUAUUUUGAACCGCAUGGUUCAAAAGUGAAAGACGGUCUCGCUUUCACUUAUAGAUGGAUCCGCGCUGCAUUAGCUAGUUGGUAAGGUAACGGCUUACCAAGGCAACGAUGCAUAGCCGACCUGAGAGGGUGAGCGGCCACACUGGAACUGAGACACGGUCCAGACUCCUACGGGAGGCAGCAGUAGGGAAUCUUCCGCAAUGGGCGAAAGCCUGACGGAGCAACGCCGCGUGAGUGAUGAAGGUCUUCGGAUCGUAAAACUCUGUUAUUAGGGACGAACAUAUGUGUAAGUAAAUGUGCACCUCUUGACGGUACCUAAUCAGAAAGCCACGGCUAACUACGUG
rnacentral:rRNA from 1 species